UAGGGAAUCUUCCGCAAUGGACGCAAGUCUGACGGAGCAACGCCGCGUGAGUGAAGAAGGAUUUCGGUUCGUAAAACUCUGUUGUUAGAGAAGAACAGCGCAUAGAGUAACUGUUAUGCGUGUGACGGUAUCUAACCAGAAAGCCACGGCUAACUACGUGCCAGCAGCCGCGGUAAUACGUAGGUGGCAAGCGUUGUUCGGAUUUAUUGGGCGUAAAGCGUGCGCAGGCGGUCAAUUAAGUCUGAUGUGAAAGCCCCCGGCUCAACCGGGGAGGGUCAUUGGAAACUGGUUGACUUGAGUGCAGAAGAGGAGAGUGGAAUUCCAUGUGUGGCGGUGAAAUGCGUAGAUAUAGGGAGAAAAACCAGUGGCGAAGGCGGCUCUCUGGUCUGUAACUGACGCGGAGGCUCGAAAGCGUGGGUAGCAAACAGG
rnacentral:rRNA from 1 species